rnacentral:lncRNA from 1 species
UCAUUUGAAGAAUCAGCUGAUCAGCUGAGACAAGGGAGGAGGAGCGAAGGAUAUAAAUAAGGAAAUUUUCUAGAAUUACUCCGAUGUCGAUCCUCAAUUCUACUCCGCGUGUCCAACAAGGACUCACAAUUUUAACUCCCCAACAAAUCUUCAAACUUACUCUCCGUCUUUUAUGAGCACAGAGGAUUGUUCAUUCAAGUUCAUUAUUUCCUUAACAACAUACAUCUAUUAUCGUAUCUUAUAACUUUUGUAGAGAGUAAAAAAUCAUUGAAAAUCGGUCAAAAUAAAGUGGAUGUGUUUGUUUGAUUAGCUUAUUAGAUGACCCACUGAUAACUGACAAAGAACUAGGUUGUCAGUAAAUCCUUUCCUCUUCUUCUGAUCGAAUAUAUGUGACAUUUUAACACUUUUAUAUAUUAAUUUAUUUAUAUAUCUUAUAAUUAUUAACAUUCGGUUUUUUUAGUUAAAAUAAAAUAUGUGUAAGAGAAAGCAUAAAACGAAUAUAAGGAAAAAAUAAAAAACAACAGACGAGCAAAUUUGUGCAAAUCAAAGGAAAACUGGAGUGGGAACUCCAUUCAGGGCAAUUCCUCCCCCCUAAUA